CUACCUACGGGGGGCAGCAGUGAGGAAUAUUGGUCAAUGGUCGGGAGACUGAACCAGCCAAGCCGCGUGAGGGAUGAAGGUACAGAGUAUCGUAAACCUCUUUUGUCAGGGAGCAAUGGCGUCCACGUGUGGGCGUAUGGAGAGUACCUGAAGAAAAAGCAUCGGCUAACUCCGUGCCAGCAGCCGCGGUAAUACAGAGGAUGCGAGCGUUAUCCGGAUUUAUUGGGUUUAAAGGGUGCGUAGGCGGGACCUUAAGUCAGCGGUAAAAUUGCGGUGCUCAACGCCGUAGAGCCGUUGAAACUGGG
rnacentral:rRNA from 1 species